AGUGAACGCUGGCGGUAGGCCUAACACAUGCCAGUCGAACGGCAGCACAGUAAGAGCUUGCUCUUACGGGUGGCGAGUGGCGGACGGGUGAGGAAUACAUCGGAAUCUACUUUUUCGUGGGGGAUAACGUAGGGAAACUUACGCUAAUACCGCAUACGACCUACGGGUGAAAGCAGGGGAUCUUCGGACCUUGCGCGAUUGAAUGAGCCGAUGUCGGAUUAGCUAGUUGGCGGGGUAAAGGCCCACCAAGGCGACGAUCCGUAGCUGGUCUGAGAGGAUGAUCAGCGACACUGGAACUGAGACACGGUCCAGACUCCUACGGGAGGCAGCAGUGGGGAAUAUUGGACAAUGGGCGCAAGCCUGAUCCAGCCAUACCGCGUGGGUGAAGAAGGCCUUCGGGUUGUUAAGCCCUUUUGUUGGGAAAGAAAAGCAGCAGGUUAAUACCCCGCUGUUCUGACGGUACCCAAAGAAUAAGCACCGGCUAACUUCGUG
rnacentral:rRNA from 1 species